GCCUAACAUCUAGCCCACACUACCCUCAUGAACCUUUUCUACACCCUCCCGUACACAACAAAACAUUUUAUCUCUUUAGUACAGGCGAUCGAAAAACUUAUAGGCGCUUCAGAUUAAGUACCGCAAGGGAAAGAUGAAAUAAAAAUGAAAUAAUUUAAAGCCCUAAACAGCAGAGAUAUACCCUCGUACUUUUUGCAUCAUGGUCUAGCCAGUUUAACCAAGCAAAAUGUGAACUUUAGUUUGACACCCCGAAACUAAGUGAGCUACUUCAAAACAGCCCUAAGGGGCCAACCCGUCUCUGUUGCAAAAGAGUGGGAAGAUUUUCAAGUAGAGGUGACAAGCCUACCGAACUUAGAGAUAGCUGGUUAUUCAGGAGAAGAGUCUUAGCUCUGCCUUAAGUUUUCUUAUUAACUCAAACAAAUCUUUAAACUUAAGAGUUAUUCAAGUAAGGUUCAGCUUACUUGAAACAGGAUACAACCUCCAAUAUUGGGUAAAUAAGGGGAACCUAGAUAAAGUGGGCCUAAAAGCAGCCACCUUAUAAAAAGCGUUAAAGCUUAAUCACCAAUUCACCCAUAAUUCCUUGAUUCCUUAUUAACCCCUCAUCCCUACUGAAUCAUUUUAUAAUAUUAUAAAAAUUAUUAUGCUAGAACUUGUAACAAGAAACUGCCUUUCUCCUGAAUGUCAGCCAGAACCGAAAUAAACCCAAUCGGUAUUUAACGUAUAUGCUCUAACUAUAGUAACCCGCAACUAGAAAACCCUAUUAUUUUCAACGUCAACCUUACACUAGAACAUUACAGGAAAGAUAAAAGAAAGAGAA
rnacentral:rRNA from 1 species